CUGAGGCCACGCGGAGGCGAGGGAGCCUGGCGGCUCUGCGCGGCUCCGGACAGACGACCCUCUGCCCUUGGCAGCGCCGACCAGCACAGAGCUCCCUCCUGUGGUCCUCGAGGACAGUCCCCAAAAGCUGGGGCUGGAACGCCAAGGUGAGGAAACAAAGAUCCAAGAGGUGGAACGAUUUACCCAGGCUCAUGCAACAGGAGGUGAAGUUGAGAUUUAAACCUGCAUCUGACUUAAAAACCCAGGAAGAGAAGGGAGAAGGAGACGCACUGAUCCGGAUGCGUCCCACACAUGACCAGACUGGGCGUGGCACGUGCCGGGACCAGGGAAUCAAAGCCACAGCCUCUGCACGUGGUGGCACGUGGUGGACGGCUGGGUCACAGGGUGACGCUCUGACCAACUGAGCCACGCUGGCCAGGGCCCAGGAGAAAAAUUUUACAGUAACACACCUAUCAGUGAAAAACAACCUAAAUGCUCAUCAGUAGGAGAUAGGUGAGUGUGGUGCAUGCAUACAAUGGAGUAUUUAUGUGGCUAUUCAAUGUGGAAUAACUCUAUACAAACUGAUAUGGAAAUAUCUCCAAAACAUGUGGUUGAAUGACAAUAAUAAGGUACAGAACUGUGCGUACAGUACCCUGCAGUUCGUAGGGGGAAACAUACAUAAUCACCCACAUAUUUGUUAAUGUAAAGAAUGUUUCUGGCCCUGGCUGGUGUGGCUCAGUGGA